CCCUUAGAUGUUCUGGGCCGCACGCGUGCUACACUGAACGGUUCAAUGGGUAAGGUAGUGCGAAAGCAUGACCUAAUCUCGAAAUCCGUUCGUGCUGGGGAUAGAAGCUUGCAAUUAUCCUUCUUGAACGAGGAAUACCUUGUAAGCGUGCGUCAUCAUCUCACGCUGAAUACGUCCCUGCCCUUUGUACACACCGCCCGUCGCUCCUACCGAUUGAGUGUUCCGGUGAGGCUUUGGGAGAAUGGCCUCAACAUGAGUUUAUCGUGUUUUGCCGUUUGAACUUAGUCAAACCUUAUCACUUAGAGGAAGGAGAAGUCGUAACA
rnacentral:rRNA from 1 species